CAUAGGAUAAAUCUCGGCCUUCCAAAACAAAUCCAACGGCCGAGAUUCGUCCAUGUCAUCACGAGUAAAAAUUGUACUCCCAGUAAAAUUUUAUUCCUGAAAUUUUACUCCCAGUAAAUUUUUUACUCCUAAGUAAAUCUGCGAGUAAAAUUUUUACUCGUGAUGACGUGGACGAAUCUCACCAGUUGGAUUUGUUUUCGAGGACCGAGAUUCACCCUAUA
rnacentral:pre_miRNA from 1 species